rnacentral:rRNA from 1 species
UACGUAGGCAGCAAGCGUUGUUCGGAGUUACUGGGCGUAAAGGGUGUGUAGGCGGUUGGAUAAGUGUGGUGUGAAAUCUCCCGGCUCAACUGGGAGGGUGCGCUACAAACUGUCUGACUAGAGUGCGGGACGGGAAAGUGGAAUUCCUGGUGUAGCGGUGAAAUGCGUAGAUAUCAGGAGGAACACCGGUGGUGUAGACGGCUUUCUGGACCGUAACUGACGCUGAUACACGAAAGCGUGGGUAGCAAACAGG